ensembl:lncRNA
UACCGAUACAGAGUCAAUGUGGAGGCUAUAUACAGGGGGUACAGGGAACAGAGUCAAUGUGGAGACUAUAUACAGGGGGUACCGGUACAGAGUCAAUGUGGAGGCUAUAUACAGGGGGUACCGGUACAGAGUCAAUGUGGAGGCUAUAUACAGGGGGUACAGGGAACAGAGUCAAUGUGGAGGCUAUAUACAGGGGGUACCGGGAACAGAGUCAAUGUGGAGGCUAUAUACAGGGGGUACAGGGAACAGAGUCAAUGUGGAGGCUAUAUACAGGGGGUACCAGUACAGAGUCAAUGUGGAGGCUAUAUACAGGGGGUACAGGGAACAGAGUCAAUGUGGAGGCUAUAUACAGGGGGUACAGGGAACAGAGUCAAUGUGGAGGCUAUAUACAGGGGGUACAGGGAACAGAGUCAAUGUGGAGGCUAUAUACAGGGGGUACAGGGAACAGAGUCAAUGUGGAGGCUAUAUACAGGGGGUACAGGGAACAGAGUCAAUGUGGAGGCUAUAUACAGGGGUACAGGGAACAGAGUCAAUGUGGAGGCUAUAUACAGGGGGUACAGGGAACAGAGUCAAUGUGGAGGCUAUAUACAGGGGGUACCAGUACAGAGUCAAUGUGGAGGCUAUAUACAGGGGGUACAGGGAACAGAGUCAAUGUGGAGGCUAUAUACAGGGGGUACCGAUACAGAGUCAAUGUGGAGGCUAUAUACAGGGGGUACAGGGAACAGAGUCAAUGUGGAGACUAUAUACAGGGGGUACAGGGAACAGAGUCAAUGUGCGGGGCACCAGUUAGUCGAGGUAAUUGAGGUAAUAUGUAUACAUGUAGGUAGAGUUAAAGUGACUAUGCAUAGAUAAUAACCAGAGAGUAGCAGCAGUGUAAAAGGGGGGGGGGGACAAUGCAAUCUGGGUAGCCAUUUGAUAAGCUGUUCAGGAGUCUUAUGGCUUGGGGGUAGAAGCUGUUAAGAAGCCUUUAAGAGGUCCUGGAUGGCAGGAAGCUUGGCCCCAGUGAUGUACUGGGCCGUAUACACUACCCUCUGUAUGUAGUGCCUUGCAUUCAGAGGACGAGCACUUGCCAUACCAGGCAGUGAUGCAACCAGUCAGGAUGCUCUCGAUGGUGCAGCUGUAGAACUUUUCAGUCUCCUGAGGGGGAAUCUGAGUUUUCGUGCCCAUCUUUAUCAGGAUAAGGUAAGACCCAGAUGCAGACCGUGAUGAAGUAACAAUGUUUAUUACAGCAACAGGGGCAAAGGUACAAGACGGAAGGCUCAGGGUAAGGCAGAGGUCGGUAAUCCAGAGGUGGUGCAAUGGUACAGGACGGCAGGCUGGCUCAGGAUCAGUGGCAGGCAGAGUGGUGCGGGGGGCAGGCUCAGGGUCAGUGGCAGGCAGAGUGGUGCGAGGGGCUGGCUCAGGGUCAGGACAGGCAGAGUGGUGCGGAGGGCAGGCUCAGGGUCAGUGGCAGGCAGAGUGUUGCGGAGUGCAGGCUCAGGGUCAGUGGCAGGCAGAGUGGUGCGGAGGGCAGGCUCAGGGUCAGGACAGGCAAGUGUCAAAACCAGGAGGAUGAGAAAAGAGAGACUGGGGGAAAGCAUGAGCUGAUACAAAACCGCUGGUUGAAAAAACAGGUAUGACACAAGGGAUAAUGGGGAAGAUGGGCGACACGUGGAGGGUGGAGACAAGCACAAAGACAGGUGAAACAGAUCAGGGACAGUACACCCCCCUCUCUACACCACCUGGUGUCCUACCUGGUUGAGCCGGCGCUGGAACUCAGAGAUAAGGCCUGGUUCCAGGAUGUCCCUGGAGGAGACCCAGUUUUAAGGCUGUCGGUAACUGGUGAAAGGAGUCAGGCGCAGGAGAGCUGAGAUGUGUGGAUAAGGUAUUUAAUUCAAGAAAAAACACCAGUACAAACACAAUACUAAGGUGCAGGAAAAAUACCGGUACCACGAAACAAACAGGCGUCACAACAAAACCCGGCAACAAUAAUACCAGCCGUCAGGUAAAGACUUACAAUAAAACAAAACAUAGGGGAAACCAGAGGGUUAAAUAAUUAAUGAACUUCGGCGGAUGUCGUGACAGUAUCUCCCCUUGACGCGCGACUCUAGCAGCACCGAACCCGGCCUCGGGGACGACCCAGAGGACGAGGCGCAGGGCGAUCCGGAUGGAAACGGUGGAAAUCUCGUAGCAUCGAAGGGUCCAAUAUGUCCUCCACCGGCACCCAGCAUCUCUCCUCCAGACCGUACCCAUUCAACUCCACGAGGUACUGAAGGCCCCUUGCCCAAUGCCUCGAGUCCAGUAUGGAUCGGACUGCAUACGCCGGGGCCCCCUCGAUGUCCAGAGGGUGCGGAGGAACCUCCCGCACCUCAGACUCCUGGAGAAGACCAGCUACCACCAGCCUGAGGAGAGAACGAGGCGGUAAUACUCCUGGAGAGGACCAGCUACCACCAGCCUGAGGAGAGAACGAGGCG